AAUGAACGCUGGCGGCGUGCCUAAUACAUGCAAGUCGAGCGAACAGACGAGGAGCUUGCUCCUCUGACGUUAGCGGCGGACGGGUGAGUAACACGUGGAUAACCUACCUAUAAGACUGGGAUAACUUCGGGAAACCGGAGCUAAUACCGGAUAAUAUAUUGAACCGCAUGGUUCAAUAGUGAAAGACGGUUUUGCUGUCACUUAUAGAUGGAUCCGCGCCGCAUUAGCUAGUUGGUAAGGUAACGGCUUACCAAGGCAACGAUGCGUAGCCGACCUGAGAGGGUGAUCGGCCACCCUGGAACUGAGCAACGGUCCAGACUCCUACGGGAGGCAGCAGUAGGGAAUCUUCCGCAAUGGGCGAAAGCCUGACGGAGCAACGCCGCGUGAGUGAUGAAGGUCUUCGGAUCGUAAAACUCUGUUAUUAGGGAAGAACAAAUGUGUAAGUAACUAUGCACGUCUUGACGGUACCUAAUCAGAAAGCCACGGCUAACUACGUG
rnacentral:rRNA from 1 species